rnacentral:rRNA from 1 species
AUUAUUUUUUAAUUAAUAAUAAACUGAUAAAGAGAGAAUUAGCUCAAAUGUUUUGUUAAAGGUUAAUAAAUUUAAUAAAAAUAAUUUUAAAUUUUUUGUUGUGUUUUAGUAUAGGUUAUUGAAUGAAUUAGUUAUGUUAUAGUUAUGGAGUACUGAAAAGGAAUUAAUUGAAAUAAGGAGGAAAAUAAUUUAAUUAAUUUAAAGUAAAUUUGAUUUAUUGUACCUUUUGUAUCAGGGUUGAUUAAAAUAAAAAAAUGGAUUUUUUAAGUCCCGAUUUGGAAUGAUUUAUUUUACUUUGUUAGUUAUUGUGGCAUCAGUUAUUAAUAAAAGUUAAAUGGCAGUGAUAUGUUAUUCGUUUUCCAAUAUAUCUGGUUUCUUAAGAAUUAAAUUUAAUUUAGUUAUCUGGGUGAAGUUUGCAUUAAAUAAAGUUGUUUUAGGUUGUAUGGGUUGAAAUUUGUAUUUAGAUAUAAAAAGCACGGGGGAUUAGCUUCAUGCUUAAAUGGUAUAAAAGUUAAAAUUGUGAAUUGAUAGUUGUUGGAAAUUAAUUAGGCUUAGAAGUGGCCUUAUUUGGAAUGGUGUUAUAACUGAUGAACAUAAAAUUUUGAAUUUUGUUUAAAAUUUAACUUGAUUAUUAAGAUGAUAGAUUUAACAUGAAGGUUUUUGUAAAAAUGAUUAAAUUAGUAUAAGUGUUUUAAAUUUAAGAAAUGUGUAGAUAUUAAUGAAUAAAGAUGAGAAAAAGGUUGUAAUAAGGAAUUAGGCAAAUUUAUUUCUCGCCUGUUUAUCAAAAACAUGUCUUUUUGUUAUAUAAAUUUAAAGUCUAACCUGCCCACUGAAUUUAAUUUAAAGGGCCGCGGUAAUUUGACUGUGCAAAGGUAGCAUAAUAAUUAGUCUUUUAAUUGGAGGCUAGAAUGAAUGGUUGGACGAGGGAAUAACUGUCUUAUUAUAAUUGAAAUUAGAAUUUAACUUUUAAGUGAAAAGGCUUAAAUAAUUUUGGAGGACGAGAAGACCCUAUAGAUCUUUAUAUUAGAAAUUUUAAAUUGAUUUAGUUGAUGUUUAGAUUUAAUAUGAACAAUAUUUAAUUGGGGUGAUGGAAAGAUAUAAUAAACUCUUUUUGAUUAAGGACAUAAUUUUAUGAUUAGUUUGAUCCAUUAAGUAUUAAUGAUUAAAAGACUAAGUUACCUUAGGGAUAACAGCGUAAUUUUUUUUUAGAGUUCUUAUUAACAAGAAAGAUUGCGACCUCGAUGUUGGAUUAAGAUUAAUACUGGGUGCAGAAGCUUGGGAUUAUGGUCUGUUCGACCAUUAGAUUCUUACAUGAUCUGAGUUCAGACCGGCGUGAGCCAGGUCGGUUUCUAUCCCCAAAAAAUUAUAAGUGCUUUAGUACGAAAGGACCAAGUAUAGCAAAUAUUUUGUAAAGUGUAAGGAUUUGAUUAAUAUG